rnacentral:lncRNA from 1 species
UGUGAUGUUUUGUGCUCUCUGUUGUGAUAUUUCUUUCAGUUGGUGCAAAUUUCACUCAUCUUACUAUGAUGCUUUCUGAUGCCCUGAUAACCUAGUUGAUUUGUCUCACAACUAAGCAGUUAAAGUUGCCGAUUUGAGUGCUCUAGUUCUUGAGCUAUGUUAUUUGUUUAAUUGAGAUGGUUCUUGGGCCCAUGGCUUUUAAACCCAAGUGUCGAUCUAGUUUCAGCUCAGUCUUGUUUCUGUCCUUGUUGGGGUGGCCAUAUUACCGGCAUGUUUACCUGUUACAUGUUAUUUACAUCAGUAAUUUUGAAAUUGACUUCCUUAAUAUUUGUUUUUGGUGACCUGUGUAAUAAUAGCUUGUAUUUUCAGAAAAUCGGUAUAAAGAUGAUUAUGGUGAUAUAACAAGUGCCAGUGAGUCAACACUGAAGGAUGCCACUCCUAAGAAAUUUGGUUGUGACUCGACUAGAAACAAGCUUCCCCUUUCUUUGAGAAAAGUAGGCCAUAACCAUGUCGAAAAGCCUCAUACACUGAAGGAUGCCACACCUAAGAAAUUUGGUUGUGACUCGACUAGAAACAAGCUUCCCCUUUCUUUGAGAAAAGCAGGCCAUAACCAUGUCG